rnacentral:rRNA from 1 species
AAGCUUAGUGAUUGUCUAAAUUUGUGUGUUUACUAGGUUCAAGGCGAUACCCUACGUUGCAUUUUAUCAAUAACUAACAUAAUUGGCCAAAUGGUGGCCUAUUCGGAAAUUACUGAAACGUAUUGAACUCUCACAAACCUAAUUAAAAUUAUUCCUAAUAAUGUGGUGGAAUUAGGUAGUUGGAACGAUCGCCCGACGCAAGCUAUUUGUUAGGGGAAGUUGAGUGAAUCGUACGACCGGGAUCCGGAUCCCUAGUUGCCCGGACGGUUCCGUCCCUAAGUCCGACACCCGUUACCGCCUGACCAGCACCGGGCCCGCCGCCGCGUGCCGCCUGGGCAUCGGCAGCCCCGAAAUUCGCGAAACAUAAAAACGUAAUUCUGCACCGAGGAACGUAUUGACCAGGAUAGGAGGCGCGGGUUGAGGACGAGGGAACGAACUGAAUGGAGACGUUACCACACAUCACAUACAUUUCUAUUUGGAUGUGGAGAAGACGAGGACGACCGAUCUUUCCAGCCCACCCCCUGCUCCGCCGCUGACGGUACGUCGCUUCUUCGUCCCAUCAAACGAACGCACGACGAUCCUCUACCCCCUCCGCGACGAAGAGCGAGAGUGCGAAGAGAAUAUUUGUGAAAAUAUCGGCCCCAUCGCCCCCCGCCCAAGGGGUAAUUAAAAGGGGCCCGGGGCCCCCCCAAAAUUUUUGGCCGUUUUCCAAUAAGGUUUGUGCGAAUGGAUUAUCCCAUUUGAAAAUUUUUAUGACCAAUUUAACCACCCAAUUAAAACUUAAACUAGCCCACUUGAAGGCUGGCUUAUUUUUAAAAUAGGCCGGCCAAGAAAAAGCUCCAAAGAAUUACGCUGAAAAAGUUUUUGAUUUUCAAUUAUUUGGCAAAGGGCCUUCGACGGGGCCCAGAAAGGCUUCAGGUUUAAUAAAAAAAAAACCCCCCGGGGGGAAUUACCCAUUAAAAGUUUGGGUUGUCCUCCGGCCGGGCCUUGGUCCGGGGUUGCAGCCCCCCCGGGAAGAAAACCCGGCCGGGCAACCGUUUGGAAACUUUCCACAUUGGUUUGGAGGUGUUAAACUCGGUAAUUUUUCCCUUAAAUGGAAUCUGGGAGGGAUCAUUACCGAGUUUACAACUCGCCAAACCCAAUGUGAACGUUACCAAACUGUUGCCUCGGCGGGAUCUCUGCCCCGGGUGCGUCGCAGCCCCGGACCAAGGCGCCCGCCGGAGGACCAACCAAAACUCUUAUUGUAUACCCCCUCGCGGGUUUUUUUAUAAUCUGAGCCUUCUCGGCGCCUCUCGUAGGCGUUUCGAAAAUGAAUCAAAACUUUCAACAACGGAUCUCUUGGUUCUGGCAUCGAUGAAGAACGCAGCGAAAUGCGAUAAGUAAUGUGAAUUGCAGAAUUCAGUGAAUCAUCGAAUCUUUGAACGCACAUUGCGCCCGCCAGUAUUCUGGCGGGCAUGCCUGUCCGAGCGUCAUUUCAACCCUCGAACCCCUCCGGGGGGUCGGCGUUGGGGAUCGGCCCUGCCUUGGCGGUGGCCGUCUCCGAAAUACAGUGGCGGUCUCGCCGCAGCCUCUCCUGCGCAGUAGUUUGCACACUCGCAUCGGGAGCGCGGCGCGUCCACAGCCGUUAAACACCCAACUUCUGAAAUGUUGACCUCGAUCAGUAGAUGCCCAUUCGU